rnacentral:rRNA from 1 species
GGAUGAACGCUGGCGGUAUGCUUAACACAUGCAAGUCGAACGGACUCUUCGGAGUUAGUGGCGGACGGGUGAGUAACGCGUGAGAAUCUGGCUUUGGGUUCGGGACAACCACUGGAAACGGUGGCUAAUACCGGAUGUGCCGAGAGGUAAAAGAGAAAUUGCCUGAAGAUGAGCUCGCGUCUGAUUAGCUAGUUGGUGAGGUAAAGGCUCACCAAGGCAGCGAUCAGUAGCUGGUCUGAGAGGAUGACCAGCCACACUGGGACUGAGACACGGCCCAGACUCCUACGGGAGGCAGCAGGGGGAAUUUUCCGCAAUGGGCGAAAGCCUGACGGAGCAAUACCGCGUGAGGGAAGAAGGCUCUUGGGUUGUAAACCUCUUUUCUUAGGGAAGAACAAAAUGACGGUACCUAAGGAAUCAGCAUCGGCUAACUCCGUG